UACAGAGGUCUCAAGCGUUGUUCGGAUUCAUUGGGCGUAAAGGGUGCGUAGGCGGCGCGGUAAGUCGGGUGUGAAAUCUCGGAGCUUAACUCCGAAACUGCAUUCGAUACUGCCGUGCUUGAGGACUGGAGAGGAGACUGGAAUUUACGGUGUAGCGGUGAAAUGCGUAGAUAUCGUAAGGAAGACCAGUGGCGAAGGCGGGUCUCUGGACAGUUCCUGACGCUGAGGCACGAAGGUCCAGGGGAGCAAAACGGG
rnacentral:rRNA from 1 species